rnacentral:rRNA from 1 species
CCCUUAGAUGUUCUGGGCCGCACGCGCGCUACAAUGAUGAAUUCAACGAGUUUAUAACCUUGGUCGAAAGGCCUGGGUAAUCUUUUGAACUUUCGUCGUGAUGGGGCUAGACCCUUGCAAUUUUUGGUCUCCAACGAGGAAUUCCUAGUAAACGCAAGUCAUCAACUUGCAUUGAUUACGUCCCUGCCCUUUGUACACACCGCCCGUCGCACCUACCGAUUGAAUGGUCCGGUGAAAUCUUUGGACUGUGACUUUGUCUCGUUUAUUCAAGGCGCUGUCGCGGGAAAUUGAUUAAACCUUACCAUUUAGAGGAAGGUGAAGUCGUAACA